UCUCUCCAUCUCUCUCUUUCUCUCUCGAUGAUUUCUGUGCCCGUGACGGUCAUGACGAUCUUCCGGAUUGUGUUGCAUUAAAGUCGCGAUUUUUACCUUGAUUAGUUGCAUGCUGCAUUCGUGACAUGUGAUCAAUCUUCCAAAUUCAAUCUUCCUUGAUUUGCCAUUGGAAAUGUUAGUUAAUAAUCGACAGAGGAUCCGCUCUCAUUUUUUUAACGAGGGUAGUCGUUGAUUUUCAACGGUUUUCCGAUCCGCGUGGCUUCUGGAAUGCGUGGCUAGCUAAUGAACAGGUAAAGAGCAAUAAGAAGGUUCUGGGUCCGAGUCCUGACGUGGAAGUUAUGCUUUUAGCGUUUCUGCCUUUUCAUGAUUCUAAUCGACGACCUUCGAUGCGUGGCUGUAAAGUUGUGUAGUGUGAACCUGGACUAGUGUAGGACCACAGAAUUGAUGGGGACAGGGAUCCACCACACAGAGAGAGAGAGAGAGAGGUGAUGAUCGACGAUAGGCAAAGAGAUCCCGUUAUCUCCUGGAAAAAUGAGUAGAUCAAGCUGAUCACAUGUCGAGAAAGCAGGCCGACACCACUCCCCUUGAUAUGGUAUGAUUAAGCUGGUUCUGUCCAUCACAGUAUCGAGAUAAUGAGUAUACAUUCAAUACCAUGUUGGAGCAUAGGGACUUUCUGGUGUGGUGUCAUCUGAUCUGAUUCUUGCAUGAGCCUGGCUCAAUUGAGCUGGCACCUAAAUCAUUAGAUCAGGGAAUCCACAUGAAGCCCACACCGUCCGACGGUCCAGAUUCUUGGAUGAACGGUUGACCAAAUAAGUAAUUGUAUAAUACGGGGAUCUUACACUUCUCAUACAUGAUUGGAGAUGAACAAAAUAUCCAUGGCAGCUUUCCAGCAAGAAGAUUCAUAUCAGAAGCAUGUGGCGCCACCAAUUAAAGAGCUAUAAUAGAUCUGCGGAUCUUAUUUGACUCUUCAAGAGGAAAUUCAUGGAUGUCAAGUCAUCUGAACAAGCAGGGACGAAUGAAGAGCAUACUUAUAGUUGGUUCAAGUUACAAAAACUGCAGUCUUCUAUGCAUGGAGUUCAAAAAAUGAAUGGAACAGCAAUUUGGGGUUGGAUACCAUAAAAUGUGAUAGAAGAGAGAAUAUGAUAAAUGAUGGCUUGCAGGAUCAUCAAAUUUACAAGUAUAAUUGGCUGGACUUGAUUGAAUGUCUAUUUUCUGUGAUUUGUAAGCUCAACUAUUGAUGCUUUGCUACAACCUGAUGAUUGUGUCAUGAGUAUGAGCAUUAAGUUGACCUCUCAUCAUCAUAGAAACUUGGACCAUCGCUUGCACGAAUUGUCGUGAUGACUAGAGUAAGGAUCAUACUUUUAGGUGUUUUCUCUUUUCUU